rnacentral:rRNA from 1 species
GACGAACGCUGGCGGCAUGCCUUACACAUGCAAGUCGAACGGUAACAGGUCUUCGGAUGCUGACGAGUGGCGAACGGGUGAGUAAUGCAUCGGAACGUGCCCGGUCGUGGGGGAUAACGCAGCGAAAGCUGCGCUAAUACCGCAUACGAUCUGAGGAUGAAAGCGGGGGACCGUAAGGCCUCGCGCGAUCGGAGCGGCCGAUGUCAGAUUAGGUAGGUGGUGGGGUAAAGGCUCACCAAGCCAACGAUCUGUAGCUGGUCUGAGGGGACGACCAGCCAGACUGGGACUGAGACACGGCCCAGAGUCCUACGGGCGGCAGCAGUGGGGAAUUUUGGACAAUGGGCGAAAGCCUGAUCCAGCAAUGCCGCGUGCAGGAAGAAGGCCUUCGGGUUGUAAACUGCUUUUGUACGGAGCGAAAAGGUCUCCUCUAAUACAGGGGGCUCAUGACGGUACCGUAAGAAUAAGCACCGGCUAACUACGUGCCAGCAGCCGCCGUAA